rnacentral:rRNA from 1 species
UACGGAGGAUCCGAGCGUUAUCCGGAUUUAUUGGGUUUAAAGGGAGCGUAGGUGGAUUGUUAAGUCAGUUGUGAAAGUUUGCGGCUCAACCGUAAAAUUGCAGUUGAAACUGGCAGACUUGAGUUGGCGAGAAGUACGCGGAAUGCGCGGUGUAGCGGUGAAAUGCAUAGAUAUCGCGCAGAACUCCGAUUGCGAAGGCAGCGUACCGGCGCCAGACUGACGCUGAGGCACGAAAGCGUGGGGAUCGAACAGG